UCUCUUUCAUCAUACCAUUCUCCAUUACUCUUUGUUUGUUUUGUUUCUACAAUAAGUGGCUAGUUGGGUCCACAAUUUAAAGAUGUUGGCCCUAUCUCUAGCCCAAUCCAAUCCCUUUUUAUAUAUAUUAAUUAAUCAUGGACACAUGAAUGGCUCACCUUACUUCUUCCUCAUGUAAUGAACACAACUUUUUCUACAAAAGGGUUAAGAUCGAAAGGGGGUGAAAAUAAUGAAAAUUAGCUAAAGCAGUUGUAGGUUUGAUUUCACUUUUAGAGGAUGUUGGAGAGAUCCGUGGAGCGCGGAAGAAGCCAUAGACUACAUAUUUAAAAAAUUUAAGAAAUUUUGAUACACAUCUUCAUCUAAAAAUUUAAGGCAAUAGAUAUAUGAGUUAUCUCUUUUAUAUAUUCAACAUUUCCUUCAUGUUUAGUCGAUGUGGGACUAACCACACACACUUGAAUUCCAACAAUCUCUCUCGCAAGUGUGAGUCACCAACAACAUUAAAAUUGAUCUACAUUAAGAUCUUCCACUCCCACUCCCGCACCAAGUCAAACCACAACUUUGAUAACAUUUGUUUGGGAGUUCAGGGAGCGCAACAACAACAAUACGGUAAACGUCAAUAAUACUUAAUACACUUUGACACUAUAUCUCACCUCAAAAUCUUAAGACAAUGAGUAUAUAUCCAAUACUUUCUCCCACCAAGCCAAACCAUUUGUUUUGAUACCACUUGUUGGGGAGUUCGGAUCGCGACAACAGCAAUGGACUAAACUUCCAAUAUCCCAAAAGACAUUGACACCACAUCUUAACCCAAAACCUUAAGAUAUUAUGUAUAUGUGUCACCUCUCUUAUAUAUUCAACAUUUCCUCUAUUUCUAAAUCGACGCGUGACUAAUUACUCACACUUAAAUUCCAACAAAGUAAAUUAAUUUCGUAGGUGUAAAAUUGAUUUUGCGACAUUUGGAUGUUAUCAAGUAAAUUGAUUUUGUUACCAGAAAUUGAUUCUAACUUGAAGUUAUGGUUUGUAACUUAUGAGUAC
rnacentral:lncRNA from 1 species